GGCAGCGUGGGGUAGUGGUUUGGGUGUUGGACUGAGAUCUGGAGACCAGGCUUCGAAUCCUGGCUCGGCCA
rnacentral:tRNA from 1 species